UACCCUAUAGGAACCAUAUGGGACCCCCUAUAUACCCUAUAAGAGCCAUAUGGACCCCCUAUAUACCCUAUAGGAACCAUAUGGAUCCCCUAUAUACCCUAUAGGAACCAUAUGGACCCUCCAUGACCUAUAUAGGCCCCCCCAUCCCCCACAUAUAUGUGCCCUUCAUACCCUAUAUGCCCUAUAGGAGCUCUGUACCCCCCUCCCUGCGCUUUUCGGGUGCCAAUUUAAUGUUAUUUUGGGGCAAAUUCGCUCAGUUUUGGUUCAUUUCCACCCCUCCCCAUUGGGAACACAAAGCAGUUACCACAAAGCAGAGACUUUAAUGGUCCUCCAAGCGCCUAGAGCGGCCGCGUGACGUCACUUCCUGUCUCUCUCUCCUUCCCCACUUCCUGUGACCAUAGAGAGGGGUCAUCCAGCAGGAAAGAAGGCCAACCAUAGAGAGGUCCUCAAAGGGAAGGGCAACCAUAGAGAGGUCCUCCAAGGGGAGCCAACCAUAGAGAGGUCCUCCAGGGGGAGGCAUAAAGACCAUAGAGAGGUCCUCCAGGGGGGAGCCAACCAUAGAGAGGUCCUCCAAGGGAAGGCCAACCAUAGAGAAGUCCUCCAAGGAAAGGCCAACCAUAGAGAGGUCCUCCAAGGGGAGGCCAACCAUAGAGAGGUCCUCCAGGGGGGAGCCAACCAUAGAGAGGUCCUCCAAGGGAAGGCCAACCAUAGAGAGGUCCUCCAGGGGGAGGCA